rnacentral:rRNA from 1 species
GACGAACGCUGGCGGCGUGCUUAACACAUGCAAGUCGAACGGAAAGGCCCUGCUUUUGUGGGGUGCUCGAGUGGCGAACGGGUGAGUAACACGUGAGUAACCUGCCCUUGACUUUGGGAUAACUUCAGGAAACUGGGGCUAAUACCGGAUAGGAGCUCCUGCUGCAUGGUGGGGGUUGGAAAGUUUCGGCGGUUGGGGAUGGACUCGCGGCUUGUCAGCUUGUUGGUGGGGUAGUGGCUUACCAAGGCUUUGGCGGGUGGCCGGCCUGGGCGGGUGACCGGACACAUUGGGACGGGGAUACGGCCCAGACUCCAACGGGAGGCAGCAGUGGGGAAUAUUGCACAAUGGGCGGAAGCCUGAUGCAGCAACGCCGCGUGCGGGAUGACGUCCUGCGGGUUGUAAACCGCUUUCGCCUGUGACGAAGCGUGAGUGACGGUAAUGGGUAAAGAAGCACCGGCUAACUACGUG